rnacentral:lncRNA from 1 species
CCAUUGAAACACUGCAUCACAAAUCAAAUUCAAGCGAUGCAUAUUAGAAAUAUCAUUGUAAUAUUAUAAAUAUAUAUCAAUCAAAAUUAACUCAAAAAAUCUAGAAAGAAAAUUGUGAAUACAAAGUUAUUGCUAGAGAAGCACAAUUCUAUAUAUUCAUAAACAAUAAUGUCUAAAAUAAAGUAUGAAGUGAAUUAUAGCAUGACAAUGUACAAUAAGUUAUACACAUCUUAACAUUGUUCCUUUAAAAACUUCAUGCUUUCAUGCCAUCAAAAUCAUGAUUGACUAACCAC